CAGGCCCGCGCGGUUGGAGGUCACCGGCACUCGGAAGAGGCAGUUCUAAGACUGGGGACACCGGGAACCAGGGAGGGCGCGAGAACCUGGGUUGGGGUAAACAAGCUGUGUCUGGUACCAAAGAGGGCUCACAAAAAUGUGUGCCCAGUACAGCCACAAAUCUAAACUACAUCUGCGCUCCAGGACAACAGGACUAGGUGUGUGCCCCCAGCACUCAGUCUGCACUCUCAGAAGACUGGACCCUAGCAAAAGGCCCUGAAAAGGGUCUGACCACAUGUCGGAGUCCCACACAGGUGGGGGCAGUGGCC